UUGGAGGGCAAGUCUGGUGCCAGCAGCCGCGGUAAUUCCAGCUCCAAUAGCGUAUAUUAAAGUUGUUGCAGUUAAAAAGCUCGUAGUUGAAUUUCGGGGUUCCACCGUUGGUCGGGCUAUUGUUUGUACUGGCGUGUUGAAUUUCUACCUUCUGGGGAACUAUCAUGUUAUUAAUUUAGCGUGGUAGGAAACCAGGACCUUUACCUUGAAAAAAUUAGAGUGUUCAAAGCAGGUUUAUGUCUGAAUACAUUAGCAUGGAAUAAUAAAAUAGGACGGUGGUCCUGUUUUGUUGGUUUCUGAAUCACCGUAAUGAUUAAUAGGGAUAGUUGGGGGCAUUAGUAUUCAAUUGUCAGAGGUGAAAUUCUUGGAUUUAUUGAAGACUAACUACUGCGAAAGCAUUUGCCAAGGAUGUUUUCAUUAAUCAAGAACGAAAGUUAGGGGAUCGAAGACGAUCAGAUACCGUCGUAGUCUUAACCAUAAACUAUGCCGACUAGGGAUCGGACGAUGUUAACUUUUCUUGACUCGUUCGGCGCCUUACGGGAAA
rnacentral:rRNA from 1 species